AGAGUUUGAUUCUGGCUCAGGAUGAACGCUGGCGGCGUGCCUAACACAUGCAAGUCGAACGGACUUAAUUUGAAACCUAGUGAUAAUUAAGUGAGUGGCGGACGGGUGAGUAACGCGUGGAUAACCUGCCGUAUGCAGGGGGAUACCAACUGGAAACAGUUGCUAAUACCGCAUAAGCGCACGGUGUCGCAUGACACAGUGUGAAAAGGUUUAACGGCAUACGAUGGAUCCGCGUCCGAUUAGCCAGUUGGCGGGGUAACGGCCCACCAAAGCGACGAUCGGUAGCCGGCCUGAGAGGGCGGACGGCCACAUUGGGACUGAGACACGGCCCAAACUCCUACGGGAGGCAGCAGUGGGGAAUAUUGCACAAUGGGGGAAACCCUGAUGCAGCGACGCCGCGUGAGUGAAGAAGUAUUUCGGUAUGUAAAGCUCUAUCAGCAGGGAAGAAAGGUGCCCCUUGGGCGCCUGGACGGUACCUGACUAAGAAGCCCCGGCUAACUACGUGCCAGCAGCCGCGGUAAUACGUAGGGGGCAAGCGUUAUCCGGAUUUACUGGGUGUAAAGGGAGCGUANACGGCAGAGCAAGUCCGGAGUGAAAGCCCGGGGCCCAACCCCGGGACUGCUCUGGAAACUGUU
rnacentral:rRNA from 1 species